GGGGGAGGGCGAGGGUGGGAGAAGCUGGGGGGGGGGGGUAUGCAAAGGCGAGAGAAAGAGAGCGAAGAAAAAUGGGAGGGGCGAGAAAGAAAUAGCUAUUUCAUUCUCGCCCCUUCCAUUUUUCCUCGCUGUCUUUCUCUCGCCUUCGCAUUCCCCCUAGCUUUUCCCACCCUCGCUCUCCCCCU